UUGAGUGCCGUUAUUCACCUCAGCGCGGAAGGGCUUCCGACGCUGCCGCCGUCGUGUCGUCUGAGGGACCCAGAUGGGUCUGCGCCCACAGAGUCGGCUCUGCUCCCCUCGGUGAAAUCUCUCUUUCUUUUUCCCCACAAGGCGACUCGCAAGAACCUUUCCUAGAGCCAUAGGGAGGUAGAGUGGGAACGGGACACCCUAGGGUCAUCUAGUCCAGCCCCCUGCAGUGCAUGGCAUCUCAGCUGAAGCAUCCGUGACAGGUGGCCAUCCAGCCAAGGAAGGAGAAUCCAGCAUUUGCUGUCAGAAAGAAAGGACUUCUGGAGGUUGGUUGGUCAGUCGCACCAAGAACCAUAGCUGUCAACGAUUCCCUUUUUUUCAGGGAAAUUCCCUUAUUCCGAAUAGCAGUGGCGUAGCGUGGGGGGUGCAGGGGGGGCCGCCCGCACCGGGCGCAACAUCUGGGGGGGGGCGCGCUCGCACUCGCAGCUCUCUGCCCCUACCUGGCUCACUCACUCUCUCUCACUGCAGUGCUGGCUGUGCGAAUCCGAUCCGAGCCGCUGGGUCGCCGCCCACUGCGGAGAGAGAGCGAGGGACUAUCUGGGGGAGGGACAGUGCAGCGGCCGCCCAGCGCAGCGUGGGAGAGAACCACACCAGACCAGGCAGCAGCAAGAAGAAGCUGGCAGCGGCGGCAGGUUAGGGGUUAGGGGGCGCAAAUUACUUGCCUUGCCCCGGGUUAGGGGGCGCAAAUUACUUGCCUUGCCCCGGGUGCUGACAACCCACGCUACGCCGCUGCCGAAUAGGAUUCCUCGGAAGAAAAGGGAAAAGUUGACAGCUAUGCCAAGAACGGGAGUCUUGCGGGACCUCUAACGACCCUAACAUAGAGUUACUAGAUUUUUUUCAAUAAAUCCAGGGACACUUUUUUAAAAAAAAUAAUUUAAAAAGAUUUUUUUAUUUUGAAAAGAGAAAAAAAAUUAAGAAAAAAAGUCAACACCACAGAUCAAAGUUUGCUUUAAAACUGAGCUUUGGUUAAUUUAAAAAUAAACAAAAAAACCCCACCAUGCAAUGUAUUAAAUCCGGUGGAAGAAACGUGUAGGUGUGUUUGAAAGAAUUCUAGCGUUUUUCCUUCGCCCCCACUUAAACUCCUCUCCUGCAUCCAGUUAGGCUAUGGUUACCAGAUUUUUUUUCAAUGAAGCCUGGCUCCAGACUGCUGAGACUGCCGCUGCCACAUUUCCUGGGGACAUUUAAUGAAAUCUGGGGAUGGAAUUUGUCUGGGGACAGAUUUGCAAAUCCGGGGACUGUCCCCGAGAAUCAGGUACAUCUGGUAACCCUACCCUAACAGGUUUAUUAUGGCAUAAGAAGCUGUCGUGGACUAGAGUCUGCUUCACCAAUGGCACAAAAAGAGUCCUGCACUUCAAGGGGUCGGACUAGAUGACCCUGGGGGUGUCCCUUCCAACUCUACAAUUGUGUGAUUCUCAGAUGUUACCCUCUUUUGGCAGGUGCAGCAGGGAAACGAUUCUAAGAGCGGAGGGGUGUUUGCGUGUGUUAAGUUGGCAAAGCUUUUGCCCAACGUUUUUUGGAUCGCACUACUGGGCUGCGACCCAAUGUGCACUUAUGGUAAAGGUAAAGGGACCCCUGACCAUUAGGUCCAGUUGUGGCCAACUCUGGGGUUGCGGCGCUCAUCUUGCUUUAUUGGCCGAGGGAGCCGGCGUCCAGCUUCCAGGUCAUGUGGCCAGCAUGACUAAGCCGCUUCUGGCAAACCAGAGCAGCGCACGGAAAUGCCGUUUACCUUCCCGCCGGAGUGGUACCUAUUUAUCUACUUGCACUUUGAUGUGCUUUUGAACUGCUAUGUUGGCAGGAGGCACUUAUGGUACUUGGGAGUAAUAAAAAUAAUAAUACCCUGCCCAUCUGGCUGGGUUUCCGCAGCCACUCUGGGCGGCUCCCAACAGAAUAUUAAAAACAUGAUAAAACAUCAAAUAUUAAAAACUUCCCUAUGCAGGGCUCCCUCAGUUGCCCUUCACAAGUUAACACAGCCUUACGUGGCAAACUUCUGAACGCAGCAGGGCUUGCUUGCAAGUAAAAGCAUAGGAUUAUGCUGCCAGUUAUGGAUCCCCAAAAUUACAGUCUCCAUGCUCACAUUUUACACAGUAUUUCCAAUUACACAGAAUUCUCCAAUGGAAACUAAAUGGAGUUGACUCCAUGCUGUAUGCAUUGAUGUGGGUAUUGUUUUCUUUUAAGAAGGGCUAGGCACUUGUAUUAUUGUUAUAUGAUGGGGGGCUUCUCUAGAUGUCAUCUUAGGGUUCCUCCUAAGCCUAUGGUUUACUGUUUGUGAGGUGGGGCUCUGUAGAAAGAGAGAAUAUGAAAGUCGCCAAGCCAAUCUCUGUCCAGUUAAGGGUUCUGGCCAAAUCCACUGAGCAGAUCUUGUCAUGGCCACGCUGAAGACUCUUGAGUAAGCUUAGCAGUCGAGGAAUAAGAGGAGAGAUCCUCUUGGGAAUCGCAGCUUAGUCAAGUUGAAAGGACUCUGUGAAUUGAAAACAGACGUUGCAUGUACCCAUGUUAACGAUGAAAAUCCGUUAAUAAAAACAAAUUUUAUAGUUAAAGUUGCAGGAAGCAAAGAAUAGGACUAAACGGAUAGUUCUCCAAAUGAAUAACGAGAGGUAGAAAGUUGAUUCCCACAAGGAUUGGUAUUGGCACUUACUUUGGGAAGUCAAUACACACAGUUGAAUCAUGAGCAGGCUGGUCUAAAAGCAACAGCCCAGCAGGCCAUGCAAGAGGGAUACCAGUCAAUUCCUGUGCUUCAGUAAUGGGUGCUUUUCUGUAGCUCUAAUGCUAUACACAUUUGUGUCCAUUAGAUGGCACUGCUCUAUUUUUUUGGUCAAAGGUGUCCUAGUGAAUUCCUUUUUCACUAAAUUUCAGUUUGAGUGUACCAAAAGUUGGCCUCAUGCUUAGACCCUCGGGUAAGGCUUGCUUGCAAGAUUGUAUUUAAUGUUUAGGAUGAUUUCUUAUAUUAUGUGUUUUACGCACAUGCAUCAAAAUGUGGUUUAUUCACGCAACAAAACACAUGGACUACAUCUCCCAUCACCCAAAACCAGCAGUGCCAAUAGUGAGGGAUGAUGGGAGUUGUAGUUCACAACAUCUGAAGCCUUGGCUGCUCCUGAUUUGUAGGCUUGGCAAGGUAAUGUUGUGUUGCUUUGUGACAAUGUCCUGUGAAGCCCAGAAGCCUGGCGAAUGGGAAAGUUUUCAUUUGAACAGCUACACAUCUUAAUUGUAUUGUUUUUUGACCAACACAGCUACCACAAUCGGGAACUUCUGGACAUAACAGUUUAAGGAAUGAACUGGAAGCUCCCACUUCAAGACUCAGCUCAGCCACAAACUUCCAUGGGGUGGUUUUAAGGCAGCUGUGGGAACACUUGGCCCUCCAGAUGUUGCUGAACUACAACUCCCAUCAUCCCUGGCCAUUGGCCAUGCCUGCUGGGGCUGAUGGGAGUUGUAGUUCAGAUGCAUCUGGAGGUUCCAAAGAUUCCCACACCUUGCCUCAAAGAGAUUAAUGUGUCUCAUCUUCCGCUUGCCCCACUCAGGGUGCUAUAAGGAUUACUGAGCUAUGCUAAAUGCUUUAUCCUUCUGUUUUAAGAAAUCCCUGCUCUGUACACUAUGUCAUAAUACUCUGAUUCAUCUCCUGAUAAUCAAGAGUUUCUCAAAAGCAGCGAUUUCUUGAAAGGCAAAGAGCUUGCCAGACCCACCGUUCUAACCAUCUUCUGACAUACAGUGGUACCUCGGGUUAAGUACUUAAUUCGUUCCAAAGGGCCGUACUUAACCUGAAACUAUUCUUAACCUAAAGCACCACUUUAGCUAAUGGGGCCUCCUGCUGCUGCUGCACCGCCGGAGCACGAUUUCUGUUCUCAUCCUGAAGCAAAGUUCUUAACAUGAAGCAAUUUUUCUGGGUUAGCAGAGUCUGUAACCUGAAGCGUAUGUAACCCAAGGCACGACUGUACUGUCGCUAGUUUCAACAGGAUGCUAAUUGUGUGUGAGAGUUUUGUCUGCAAAGCUGUAAUAUAAGAAGUAAUCAUUCAGACUGUUUGCAUAACAAGGUCGCUUGCAGUCUCAGGCUGCAGUCCUAUACACACAGACUUCACGGGAAUAAGUUCAAUUGAACUCAGUGGGGCUUAACUUCUUUGUGGUCCCAUAUAGGAUUUCACUGUUAGUUUCUUCCCAUCCCCUCAACUCUUAAGAUCCUAUGCAUAAAUACAAAGCUGUGUUAACUUAAAAAAUAUUUAUUAAAGAUUUCCUUAGAUCACAAAAGUGCAUACAUCAUCUCUGUUUUCAGAUCAUAAAGUCGUUUCUACAGACCAGUUCUAUUCAAUGUGAGAGACCAAUAUUGUAGACAGUAUAAGGUGGGGGGGGCGGGACGUUGGGAGGAAGAGAAGAGGGGGGAUAUUAAACUUUCAUCCUCUCACAUAGCGUACGUGCAAGGGUUUUGUGUCAGCGUCACAUGGGUAGGUUCUCUUGUUUUUAACUACAUUAUUUCUGGCACAAUGCAGAAGAAUAGCCACACAAUUUCAUUUGUAGAAGGGUAACUGCAGAGAAACUUAGAGCAAGGCAGAGGAGAAAGAGAGCCCUAAAUUAGGCUACUAAUAAAUAGGCUGCUAUAAGAGAGUGGGAAAGGGUGAAGUGAGAAAAAUAACAAGGGGAAAUGGGCAUCAUCAAAGGCAAAAGGGAAAGUGCCAGAAAGGGAAAUCAGGAAUAGGAAGGGACUAUUGCAAGGAAGGGUCAGGAGGAACAGAUGAAGGCUGCAAUCCUUUACAUAUCCCUGAGUUCAAGCACCAAUUAAUAUAGUGGGACUUACUUCUAAGUAAGCAUGCAUAGGGUUGUGCUGUAAAAUCAGUUGGUGAAAGCCAAUUCAGAUUGAUUUCACAAGUUAUGCUUUAAAGUUUAUUAUGCUACAUUUAGAAUGGGCUGGGUGACAAAUGUGCAAUACAAAAGAAAAGAUGAUGUAGAGCAAGAAGCUCUGUUUAAGAAAAGCAGUUCAGAGAUUGAAGGGAGGCGAUACCAAGAGUUUAAAAGGGCUGUAAAUGGAGAUUGCUAAAAGAAUGCUG